rnacentral:lncRNA from 1 species
GCACAGGGGGAGGUCUGCCAGGCUCUGCCCUGCCCAGUGACCAACUGCACUGCCAUUGAAGGGGCCGAGUAUAGCCCCUGUGGCCCUCCGUGCCCUCGCUCCUGUGAUGACCUAGUGCACUGCGUGUGGCGCUGCCAGCCUGGCUGCUACUGCCCACCAGGCCAGGUACUGAGUUCCAACGGGGCCAUCUGCGUGCAGCCGGGUCACUGCAGCUGCCUGGACCUGCUGACCGGGCAGCGGCACCAUCCGGGUGCUCGGCUGGCAAGGCCUGACGGCUGCAACCACUGGUAAGGGGCCCUCGCCGUGGUGGGAGGCAGGGAUGCCAGCAGGAGUUGCCCCACUUCAUCCCAUUCUCUCGAGCUCUCUGGAGUCUCCGCGGAUGGUCACAUUUGCCCCCCACAAUCCCUGAGCAGAUGUGGGGCAGGCACCAAGACCCGCGUCUGAUAGGCGAG